GGGGCAUUAGCUCAGUUGGGAGAGCGCAUGACUGGCAGUCAUGAGGUCAGCGGUUCGAGCCCGCUAUGCUCCACCA
rnacentral:tRNA from 1 species